rnacentral:rRNA from 1 species
GGGCCCGCACAAGCAGCGGAGCAUGUGGUUUAAUUCGAAGCAACGCGAAGAACCUUACCUGGACUUGACAUACCCUGAAUAUCUUAGAGAUAAGAGAAGCCCUUCGGGGCAGGGAUACAGGUGGUGCAUGGUUGUCGUCAGCUCGUGUCGUGAGAUGUUAGGUUAAGUCCUGCAACGAGCGCAACCCCUGUUGUUAGUUGCUAACAUUUAGUUGAGCACUCUAGCAAGACUGCCGCGGUUAACGCGGAGGAAGGUGGGGAUGACGUCAAAUCAUCAUGCCCCUUAUGUCCAGGGCAACACACGUGCUACAAUGGGCAGUACAGAGAGAAGCAAGACCGCAAGGUGGAGCAAACCUCAAAAACUGCCCCCAGUUCGGAUUGCAGGCUGAAACUCGCCUACAUGAAGUUGGAGUUGCUAGUAAUCGCGAAUCAGAAUGUCGCGGUGAAUACGUUCCCGGGCCUU